AGUCAUUAACUCUACUGAAUGGAAGGCUUCUCAUGUUAUGGACAAAUUGAAGCUUUGCCAGGAAGGGAGAGCUGCACACGAAAUCUUCCUGCCUGGGUCUGGAGAUGUGAGCAAGGAAGAGGAAUAACAGAAUGAAUCUUGACUCGAUAAAGUAACUGCCAUUUUCCACUUGUCAACGCUGGAUCUCAUCACAUCUGGUAGAUGGAGUGAAUUCUACCACAUUUUUUCUUCCUUUGUUUUGAAAAGAGAUUUAUUCUGAUAAAAUUCAUGCUCAUUAUAAAUAUUGAAAUAUACAAAGAAUAAAGUAAAAUACAACUGUUGGGGUGAACAUCCUUCCAGACAGCUCUCUUUGUGCACCUAUUAAAAUAUUAUACAAAUGGGA